GACGAACGCUGGCGGCGCGCCUAACACAUGCAAGUCGAACGAGCGAGAGAGAGCUUGCUUUCUUGAGCGAGUGGCGAACGGGUGAGUAACGCGUGGGGAACCUGCCUCAAAGAGGGGGACAACAGUUGGAAACGACUGCUAAUACCGCAUAAGCCCACGGUGCCGCAUGGCACAGAGGGAAAAGGAGCAAUCCGCUUUGAGAUGGCCUCGCGUCCGAUUAGCUAGGUGGUGAGGUAACGGCCCACCAAGGCGGCGAUCGGUAGCCGGACUGAGAGGUUGAACGGCCACAUUGGGACUGAGACACGGCCCAGAAUCCUACGGGAGGCAGCAGUGGGGAAUAUUGCGCAAUGGGGGAAACCGUGAUGCAGCGACGCCGCGUGGAGGAAGAAGGUCUUCGGAUUGUAAACUCCUGUUGUUGGGGAAGAUAAUGACGGUACCCAACAAGGAAGUGACGGCUAACUACGUG
rnacentral:rRNA from 1 species